rnacentral:sRNA from 1 species
UAGGAUCAAAGACUAAGAACGCCACGUCCUGUGGCAACGUCUUUGUGACCCACAUCGUGUGG